GGUAGCCUGCCCCUGUGUGUGUGUGUGUGUGUGUGUGUGUGUGUGUGUGUACACGUACGUGCACGUGCAUGCAUGCCCCCACUCCCAGACACAG
rnacentral:miRNA from 1 species